AUGGGUAGAAGUAAGGUCAAUCCUAUUUGGGGUAAGAUAUGAAAAUUAGCUUGUCCGGCGAAGGUUAAAAAUUUUAUUUGGCAAACGCUCCACGGGACUCUACCGUGCCGUGUUACACUGGCCAACAGACAUAUAAAAACUCAGCCAAUAUGCUCAGCAUGUUUGGAUGGGCAAGAGGACACGAAACAUAUAUUAUUUCUGUGCCAGAAGGCAAAAGAAGUGUGGGAAUAUUUGGGAUUGUAUGAAGUGGUAGAAAAAGCCUGCGUCAUUGACCGUCCAGGAGAGGCAGUCCUUGAAUUCUUACUCCUUAUGCCUGAUCAUGAAUUACCUAUCUUGGGCUCCCGGAAUGCAGGGGAACUAAUCGCUAUAGCUGCUUGGUAUUUAUGGUGGAAUAGACGGAAACUAGUCCAUGAGGGUAAGUCUCAAGAGGCGUCUCAAACCUUCAUGGGGAUUAGGGCUAUAACAGCGAAUUAUGUAAAUGCCCACUCACCUAAAGCAAAGAGAAAGAAUGAAGGAUGGCGCAGACCUCCCAUGGGGUUUGUUUAA
rnacentral:rRNA from 1 species